UUCUUUAAGCAAAUGGUUGCACACCAAGGACCAAGAAUCUUCACCCAUACCUAAUAAAGCAGCAAUCGCACGAUAUCCACAAUUACUGUCAGCUUUCACAUCCACAAUGUUGUCAAUUAAAUCGUGUAUGAACGGAUGAAAUUGAUCCAACAUCAGCAUGGUCCUUCUUGGAAUGGCCUGGUCAGAAGAUAAUGCACUAUGCUUCACCAAAGAAUUCCUAUUUUGCACAGAAUGUAAAACAUCAGUAUACUCCUAGUAAGACGGAUCAUGCUUUGUU
rnacentral:lncRNA from 1 species